rnacentral:rRNA from 1 species
UACUAGAGUAGCACUCGCAUAUCAAUAAGCGGAGGAAAAGAAACUAACAAGGAUUCCCCUAGUAACGGCGAGUGAAGCGGGAAGAGCUCAAAUUUGAAAUCUUAAAGGGUUUCCCUUUACGAAUUGUAGUUUAAAGAAGUGUUUUCUGCUGAGGUUUUGGUAAAAGUUCUUUGGAAUAGGACAUCAUAGAGGGUGAGGAUCCCGUAUUUGACCUUUACUUUAACUUUGUGAUACACUUUCAAAGAGUCGGAUUGUUUGGGAAUGCAGUCCAAAAUGGGUGGUAAAUUUCAUCUAAAGCUAAAUAUUGGCGAGAGACCGAUAGCGAACAAGUACCGUGAGGGAAAGAUGAAAAGAACUUUGAAAAGAGAGUUAAACAGUACGUGAAAUUGUCAAAAGGGAAGCGUUUGACACCAGUGUUGUUUUUCUGAAAAUCAAUUAAAGAACUGUUUAUGCUAAGCUGUUUAGACUUUAUCAGCUAUCUGUUUAGUUUUGAGCUUUUCUUUAAUGCACUUUUCAGUUAACAAGUCAACAUCAAUUUCUUUUGCUGUAAAAAAGCUUGAGGAAGGUGGCUUGAGAUUCGUCUUAAGUGUUUAUAGCCUCUUGCCUAUGCAGUCGGAGAGAUUGAGGUCUGCAGCGUAGAUCCUUCGGGGCUAAAUGCAUUUGUGCUAAGUUAUAGCAUUUUAUAGACAACUUGUUGACUAUGAUUUGUCUUGUAGCUUACUCGCUUAUGUUAUUUUACCUACGCUUAGGAUGUUGAGCGCAUGUCUCUCUCU